AACGAACGCUGGCGGCAUGCCUAACACAUGCAAGUCGAACGAGACCUUCGGGUCUAGUGGCGCACGGGUGCGUAACGCGUGGGAACCUGCCCUUAGGUUCUGAAUAACUCCCCGAAAGGGGUGCUAAUACCGGAUAAUUUCUUCGGACCAAAGAUUUAUCGCAUUUGGAUGGGCUCGCGUUGGAUUAGCUAGUUGGUAGGGUAAAAGCCUACAAAGGCGACGAUCCUUAGCUGGUCUGAGAGGAGGAUCAGCCACACUGGGACUGAGACACGGCCCAGACUCCUACGGGAGGAAGCGGUGGGGAAAAUUGGCAAAUGGGCGAAAGCCUAAGCCAGCAAUGCCGCGUGAGUGAUGAAGGCCUUAGGGUUGUAAAGCCCUUUUAACCGGGAUGAUAAUGACAGUAACGGGAGAAUAAGCCCCGGCUAACUCCGUG
rnacentral:rRNA from 1 species